rnacentral:snRNA from 1 species
AGAUGUGAGGGCGAUCUCAUUGAUCGCCAGGGUCAAUUUGGGCUGAUCGGGCUGGCUAAGCGGUGUCCCCUUCCUCCCUCACUGCUCCAUGUGCAUUUCUGUCCCUCAGGAAGAGGACAACCUUCCCUGAUAGAGAAGGACCGUUUCGGCUAAGGGUAUACAGGUAGCUGUGCUUUGCUCUAGAACCUCCAAGCAAGCACUCAUAGUCCAUUUGUAGGAGAAUGUAGGCUAGUCAAGCUUCCAAGACUCCAGACACAUCCAAAGGAGGCAUUGCAUGUGACAGUCUGCCUUUCUUU